GCUAACUCCGUGCCAGCAGCCGCGGUAAUACGGAGGGUGCGAGCGUUGUCCGGAAUCACUGGGCGUAAAGGGCGCGUAGGCGGUGACUUAAGCGUGUGGUGAAAGCCCGGGGCUCAACCCCGGGUCUGCCGUGCGAACUGGGUCACUUGAGCACUGUAGAGGCAGGUGGAAUUCCGGGUGUAGCGGUGGAAUGCGUAGAGAUCCGGAAGAACACCAGUGGCGAAGGCGGCCUGCUGGGCAGUAGCUGACGCUGAGGCGCGACAGCGUGGGGAGCAAACAGGAUUAGAUACCCCUGUAGUC
rnacentral:rRNA from 1 species